AUUGAACGCUGGCGGCAGGCCUAACACAUGCAAGUCGAGCGGAUGAAGGGAGCUUGCUCCUGGAUUCAGCGGCGGACGGGUGAGUAAUGCCUAGGAAUCUGCCUGGUAGUGGGGGAUAACGUCCGGAAACGGGCGCUAAUACCGCAUACGUCCUGAGGGAGAAAGUGGGGGAUCUUCGGACCUCACGCUAUCAGAUGAGCCUAGGUCGGAUUAGCUAGUUGGUGGGAUAAAGGCCUACCAAGGCGACGAUCCGUAACUGGUCUGAGAGGAUGAUCAGUCACACUGGAAAUGAGACACGGUCCAGACUCCUACGGGAGGCAGCAGUGGGGAAUAUUGGACAAUGGGCGAAAGCCUGAUCCAGCCAUGCCGCGUGUGUGAAGAAGGUCUUCGGAUUGUAAAGCACUUUAAGUUGGGAGGAAGGGCAGUAAGUUAAUACCUUGCUGUUUUGACGUUACCAACAGAAUAAGCACCGGCUAACUUCGUG
rnacentral:rRNA from 1 species